UCUCUUACAGCUUCCUCUUUGUACACAUUGGUUAUAGUUAGCAAGCAUAAAUGUGGGCUUUGUUUGGGCUUCAGUUCAUCAGCCAUGGACAAAAGUGUGCUGCUGGUCCUGCUGUGUCUGCAGGCUCUUCUGCUCAUCACAGCCUUCAAUUCUACUGAUCCAACCACUCUGGAGAGAAAUGAUCUUCAGCAACAGGCUGUUGUUGGGGUGAAGAUUUGGACAAGAAAAUACAAAUCAAAGAAGAAAAAGCCCAAACAUGGAGGAUGUCACGGGAAACCAGGGGCAUGUGGCUUCCCGGACCAGUAGUGUCUUGAUGGUAUACUGGAGCAAUACACCGACACCGUGUUCCCACUUGACAACCAACUAAAAAUCACCCCAAGAACAGAUCUCAUCACAGAAAAUGAUACUAUCUGCUUAUUGGUUCAUAAUUGUUGCGUAUGUUUUCUAUUUUGGAUGUAAAAGUAUAGUAAUCUACUUUUCCCCCCACAACCUUGUAAUUCGUUCUCUUCUUGCUGAUCUUAUCUAACCUCAAUGAGUUGCCUGUUUCGAAAUCAUAAGCAGAUCAUGACACAUACACUUACAAUAUUAAGGUAUCUUCUCUGAGUCACCAGCCCUGCUAAAGCUCCCUAACACUUGAUAUCUCCUUUGUUUCAUCUGUAGAUACAUUUUAAAAAGUGUAAAAGCAACAGUUUCAUGGGGGAGGUUUGGCUGAGAGCAUCACCACUGUGGAGUCUCCGCUUUAAUGACAAAUUGGCAUGUUUACACAGACUGAUCAAACGAGAUACACUGUGUUAAUUAGUGAGCUUCAGAGGUGUUGGUACCGUAGGUGGAUUUUGUUUCUUACCUUUGUACAGAGUGAGGCUAUAGCUGUUUCCACCCUAAGCUAACUCUCUGCUGGUUGUAGCUUUUUAUUUACCACAGAGAAGACGGUGGUGUCAAUCGUCAAUCUUCUCCUGUAACUAUUGCUUUGUUAGAUGAGGUACAUUUGCAGAACAAAUAAUCUUCUGUAAACAUGCAGUGUUUCCUAGUGACACAGACUUCAUAUCAGUUAAAUAAAUGUAUCAGCUAAAUUAAAAGAUUCAGGUCUUUAGAGAUACCCUGUGCUUACAAAUAUCUGCUUAUGAUCUGAUGUUCCAAGUGCUUCAUAAUGCAGCCACAAGAUGGAGCCAGACAGCCUUGUUUUUUAUACCAACAGCAGCAGCAGUUCACUUUGUGUUUUGAUGUAAAGUAAUUUGGUUUAAAUAAAAGUCCAU